UCGGGUAUAAUGAUGAGCAAAAGGCAUUUGCGUAGACUCCGUAAGAGUGAAAGGGAAGCUAACAUUGCAAAGUUAGCGUUGUGCAGAAAAGAUAACAGAUAACAGCAAUGAAAUCGAUUCUCCAGCCAGCUGGCGUUUUGAGCGGCUUAAACAUUAUUUUGAGUGAGGAAAUUGUUCUAGCCUAUAACGUCGAUGGGGUCCAAGGGAAGAAGGCCCUUAGGACCCACAAAGAAUUUUUUGCAGCUUUGCUAGAAUGUAUUCCGCCUGGCGAUGAGCCCCCCGAAAACACUGUGCGGAAGGCAAUGCAAAGGAUGAAGAAAAGGGUGUUUAAGAAGAAGUGUCUUGCCAAAAACCAGGC